GUAGGUGGCAAGCGUUGUCCGGAAUUAUUGGGCGUAAAGCGCGCGCAGGCGGUUCUUUAAGUCUGAUGUGAAAGCCCACGGCUCAACCGUGGAGGGUCAUUGGAAACUGGAGAACUUGAGUACAGGAGAGGAAAGCGGAAUUCCACGUGUAGCGGUGAAAUGCGUAGAGAUGUGGAGGAACACCAGUGGCGAAGGCGGCUUUCUGGUCUGUAACUGACGCUGAGGCGCGAAAGCGUGGGGAGCAAACAGGGAUUAGAUACCCUGGUAGUCCACGCCGUAAACGAUGAGUGCUAAGUGUAGGGGGUUUCCGCCCCUUAGUGCUGCAGCUAACGCAUUAAGCACUCCGCCUGGGGAGUACGGCCGCAAGGCUG
rnacentral:rRNA from 1 species